rnacentral:rRNA from 1 species
UUGGAGGGCAAGUCUGGUGCCAGCAGCCGCGGUAAUUCCAGCUCCAAUAGCGUAUAUUAAAGUUGUUGCAGUUAAAAAGCUCGUAGUUGAACUUCGGGGUUCACCCAUUGGUCAGGCUUAAUUGUCUGUACUGGUGAGAUGAGUCUCUACCUUCUGAGGAACUUUCAUGCCAUUUGUUUGGUGUGAUGGGAAAUCAGGACUGUUACUUUGAAAAAAUUAGAGUGUUUAAAGCAGGCUAACGUCUGAAUACAUUAGCAUGGAAUAAUGAAAUAGGACGGAUUGAUUCUAUUUCGUUGGUUUCUAGGGUCACCGUAAUGAUUAAUAGGGAUAGUUGGGGGCAUUAGUAUUCAAUUGUCAGAGGUGAAAUUCUUGGAUUUAUUGAAGACUAACUACUGCGAAAGCAUUUGCCAAGGAUGUUUUCAUUAAUCAAGAACGAAAGUUAGGGGAUCGAAGACGAUCAGAUACCGUCGUAGUCUUAACCAUAAACUAUGCCGACUAGGGAUCGGACGCAGUUAAUUUUAUAAUGACGUGUUCGGCACCUUACGGGAAACCAAAG